AGUGAACGCUGGCGGUAGGCCUAACACAUGCAAGUCGAACGGCAGCACAGUAAGAGCUUGCUCUUACGGGUGGCGAGUGGCGGACGGUUGAGGAAUACAUCGGAAUCUACUUUUUCGUGGGGGAUAACGUAGGGAAACUUACGCUAAUACCGCAUACGACCUACGGGUGAAAGCAGGGGAUCUUCGGAUCUUGCGCGAUUGAAUGAGCCGAUGUCGGAUUAGCUAGUUGGCGGGGUAAAGGCCCACCAAGGCGACGAUCCGUAGCUGGUCUGAGAGGAUGAUCAGCCACACUGGAACUGAGACACGGUCCAGACUCCUACGGGAGGCAGCAGUGGGGAAUAUUGGACAAUGGGCGCAAGCCUGAUCCAGCCAUACCGCGUGGGUGAAGAAGGCCUUCGGGUUGUAAAGCCCUUUUGUUGGGAAAGAAAAGCAGCAGGUUAAUACCCCGCUGUUCUGACGGUACCCAAAGAAUAAGCACCGGCUAACUUCGUG
rnacentral:rRNA from 1 species